rnacentral:rRNA from 1 species
UGACGUGUACCCUUUACUUCGAAGAAGUCCUUCAAUUCUUACGAGACGAGAUGAGACGAGACGGGACGUAACGAGGAUACCGAGACGAGACAGCACGUGUGUUACGAGGUAAAACACUAUGUAUACCCGACUUCUCCUCCUUACCGAAUUCAGGUUAUUCUUUGUGGUCCCGGACGACUAUAAUCUCAACUCCAGGCAUCAUAUGAGAGAAAAUCAAGUUGUAUUUAAAUAUUACGAAGUUACCCAAAGAGACAAUCACGGGGUCACUCAACUCAAAGUCCCUAAGUGUACUAAAACCACAUACUGGUAACUUUACCUGAAAGAAGUGUUCGUAUUCCUUAUGGAUAUUAAAACUGAAGUGGUAAAACGUGACGUGUAAGUUAGGUAUAUAAGACGUUGGUCGUUCUAGGUGACUGAUUUUUUUCCUGAUUAGUCGUAUCAAUGUGGUGAUGGUCCAAUUAGUUUAAACUUGAUGGUAGAUUUUAAUCGAGUAUAUCCCUCCUACUUUCCCGACGACUAAAAAACACUGACUUGAAAAUGUAAUACCUUUAGCUCAUAUUAUUAUUGAUCGAUAAAGUUAUUUAUUUAAUCAGAUUGUACAUGAUUUUACAACACCGGGUAUCGUUGAGUCUCUCUCCAAGGUAGGGACGUGUAACCGACGGUUUCCGUGUGACUAAGGUGGUAGGCCUGCAGGUGCCGUACCAUACACUAACGUAUCAUAUCAUAUAAACAAAAAAGGAAAAUGAAGAUGUAAGACAACUUACACAGAGAGUUGGAGGUCUCACUACAUACGUACGUACAUACACACAUACCUAGUUCCUAAUGCUCAGCUGCUCAGCAACUCAGUAAGGCUCCAACUCUGAGUAUCUGAUUAGUCUGAUCAGAAUCUGAUCACGAUCUGAUCAGCUGUUUCAUGACAUCAUCAGUUGAUGAUUAUGGAUCAUCGUCAUACACAUCAUACAUCAUCAUAUAUGUUAUUUUGGUCGUAACGAGCGGUUGCGAGCGGUCCGGGUCGGGUCACGGCGAGUCGUGCGGUGGGGGUCGACCGGGUAAACCCGGGUUCAUCGGUCGGAUGAAUCGGAUGAAGGGUAGGGUCAGAGACAUUGGGAUCGAGGGCUAGCUAGGGCAGCGGUGGUGGACGCAGUAGUGCGUGUCUUCGUGCGCGCGCGCUGGGCGCGGAGGCUGGCGACGGCGGCCGCUCGGUCGUUUGGUGGCCGCACGUAGGAGAGGAGAGGAGAGAGAGAGAGAGAGAGAGAGUAUCCCGGUGUGCGCGGAUGCCCCGUGCCGGUACCGGCGGCGGGCUCGUGCUCGAGGCCGGCCGACGGCGCGGAACGAAGCGGUAGGCGGCAGGGCCGCCGCCCAGUCACCCACGACCACCACCGGAGCAGGUCCGCCGAGCAAGAGUAUCGAGCGAGAGGUUAAAGGGGGAGGGUUUAAACUCAGCUCGCUGAGUCUGUCGUCCUGAUCAGGUCUGAUCAGCAUCUGAUCAGAGAGCUGGCGAGCUGAGUAGCCUAAUCAGAUGUGCUCUAAGCGUCAGCUGUGGUGUCAACGCUGAGUAUCUGAUCAGGUAGCUGAUCAGAGCUGAUCAGGAAGCUGAGCAUUAGUUACCAUACCUAUGAUACCAGUACAACGCCGGAUUUAGUGACAAAACUGAAUAAACCUUUUCAAGUCGUGUUUGACUUGGUACAACCUUUGAAUAGGCCCCGCUACUACUAUUUUGUACCGACUGUAUUCGAACAGAAGCUAAGAAACUCCUCGACACUCGUAUUUUUUGGGUGACGGGGGAGAAAACCUUGGAAAAGUAAGAGUGACUUAUAACUACUGAGAGAGAACCUACCAGUAAGACAACUCACUAUUGGUCUCCUGGAGCUGAAGUUACUACCCCUAACUAGACCACGUUCUUCUGUCACCUCGAUCCAACAACUAGAUUGUUUCUGCUUAGACUCGGGAGAGUUUAGAGUUACGUUGAUUAUAGCACCGGAGAUAUGUAAAUAAAUAAGGAUAGGGGAAAAAUACAAAUUUUCACUACUUAACAGCACCAACACCGUAAACGGUAGAGUCAUCCUCGUCGAUGCGUGUCUAGUGGAGAGCACCACAAACCAAACGGAAGAGUACUAAAACAACAGGUACCACCCUUGUCAAACCCCGCAAGUCCGAAAAAGAAAAAGACAAAAAUGAAAAGGAACUUACCGACACUAUUAAGACAACAGGGAACCUAUCAAAUAAAAUCUAGUAGAAUAACCCAAGCGGUCUGACGAACAAAGUUAACGAUAAACUGAAAACUAUUACAGAAAGAAGAUGAUAUGAGAAGUAGAUGAAUAGUCAAACAUGAUAUCCCGUUCAAGUCCACAGUUCUAAUGCCAAAGGAAGUACAGUACAAGUACUUACCGACACUACUAUAUCGAAGGGACAUUAACGAAAAUAGAUUGUGGACUUAAAUAAGUCAACCACGAUUUGAUCCUACCGAACACAUUUAUUGGUCAAAUCGCCGAUUGACAAUGAGGGAGGCAAGUGUUUAUAUUCUACAAGUACCAGUAAGAUGGUCUUUAAGUCAAUACCACAGCUCUACCCCCAUAUAGACUCGGUAAAUGAAUACGUACAGGGUCAAAAACACAGGUGGUCUAGUACUAAACGAGGACUAUAUCACUAAAAAAGACGAAAGUGGUAAAGAGCACACCAAAGACCAGUAGAAAAGAAACAACUGUUAACCGAAGCCAGACGAUGAGAGAAACACCCUAAGCGCGAUUCACUACAACUACCACCACUACUCAUUCCGAGUAAGUCUCCAAAUGACUAUAGUCUAUGGUAGCGAACAAAAAUAACAUACCCAAUAUAAAACACAAUGAUCCAACCUCGCACGUUUAGCCCUACCGAACGACGUGAUACCGCGACGUUCGUAGUGGUCUGCACUACUAACGUAGAACAGAAAUUACAUAAUAACAUAAUUGAUGUAACAUAAAUUAAGACUUGGAUGGUAAGAAAAAAACUGUAUGUAGUACAAGUUACAUUGACGUUGUGAAGGGGAUAACUACAAGAAGAACAAGUAUUUUCUAAUUUUCUGGCGUCUUGUAUAUAAUAGGGUAAAAAUAAACCGGACCUCGCUGAGGAUAGACUUCGCUUGUUUUGCAGUUAACGAAGAAGGUAGCUGUCAUUACGCCGGUAGUCACGUUACAAGGUAACACAACUACUCUACAUAAAAUUAGACUUACCGAUUCUACUAAAAGCGGGGAACCACAACCUAUACAAAAGUACAGAAGAUCCAACCAAUUUGAUCCUCCGGGAAAAGACGUCGUUCAAGGGUCAACGUCAGAUUAUGAUAUGGGAGGAUAUGUUAUACCAAAUGUGUGAAUAAAUAAAUAAGGAUGGCGGAAAAAUACAAAUUUCACUAUUUAAGAUCACUAACACCGUUACAGGUUAUCUGCAUUGUUCUAAUCGAUGAAUCCAACCAAUUAUAUUGAGUAAGAAGGUAGAAUAACUGAUAUUGGUAAUUAAUACUAAGUAAAGUUAGGCCAAAUAUGUGUCCUUCGAACACGACUAUUUUCAGGAUACGGUCGACUACCUCGUGAACGUACAAGUUCAAACAAAUUCUAGUAACACCUCAGUGUAAACUUCCCGUGUUUGGAAAAGUAAACUUCAACGGGAGCUUCUGUAACUAUUAAUACGAAUAUCUCAUGAAGUAGACAACAAGAGUACAGUACGACGUAUGACUGACGCGAAGAAGAGAAAAUGUAUCGACGACGACUAAGACGUAAACUCCUAUUACUACUACGACUUAUGAAGGUACAAAGGCAAAGUUUCACACUACUCGUUAACCGGAACAUACGAGACUAACGUGCUCGUCGACUACUGUGGUAGUAUGGGAACUCGUUAACAAAAGACUCGCUAAACGUGCCGAUUCAGUCUAAGGACUUCGAAAUCUCCUGCCUUUGGUUACAUCAACUUCAUCGAGUUGUAGGACCCUGUGUCACAAAAACUUGAACUCGUGUGCACACGAGAUAUAGACCCGCCAAGUCAUCGCAGAUCCCUAAGUUACGUAAUUUUUUCACCCGGCUGAAGUGCUCGCCGACUUUUAUACCUUUUCUCCCUUAUGUGUACUUGACACCGGUUGCUGUCUCUGCCUCCUUGCCGCCCGCACCUGCCGUCGUUCGACUCGGCACCAAGUUGAGCAGUCGCAAGAACGACUGGGUACAUAGUCCUAUGCACGAAACUAGACACACACCAAGCAAUAGUAACGUGUCCAUGUCGUGUCGCUGUGUAGUAAUCUAACACUAGACUUAAUAAGCAAUACAGGUGUAACAACGCAGGGGACCUAUUUACUAAUCUGGUAUUAAACACUUGACUCUUCAAUACUACAGAAGCAACGUUUUUAGACUUUAAAAGGCUGAGGUAUCCAUCCACUAACGAACAUUAAUCCUCUGUUUUAUGACCCAUUAAAUAGUCUGCAACAUGUCUUAAUGACGAACAGUCCUCAAUUUCAUAUUCUAGUAAUCUAGUGUAUAACUAUGCAAUACCUGUUAAAAAAACAUGGUCGUUUACACAGAUUAGUCUAUCUUACACCAACACUUCUAACUACAACGUAACACAAAACAAGUACCUCAUGUCAAUCGUUCGGAAGCCCCUUCAGACAUGUAAUGGUUUGUCUAUACUUGAGGUUCCCAAUAGGGGUGGGGAUCUCUGUUUCCACUUACCCGCAGAAACAAACGACGAACACAUUAAAUGGUACAAAGAUAGUUGAACAAUGUAGAAUGAGAAGAAGCAGAAACAAACGACGAACACAUUAAAUGACUGCACCCUAAAGUAAAGCAAACUAAAAAACGAUUUACCCACGGUUCUGAAGUAGAGUUUUUUAAGUAUGAUGCAUCGCACGCCUCGAGUUUUGUUUAACACCUGAGGUCGGGCGAAAGUAACACAAAGAACCCCAUAAACCAAUACGUCUUUAUAAGAGACUUAAAUUUAGACAAAGAAGUAGUCAGUAUGUAUGACUAGACACAAGAAAAAUCUUGACAGUAUGACUAUGUAUGACAAAGACAUUGAGACCUCUACAGUCUAACUUCGGUUUCGUACUGACGGUCAUUCUUUUAUUGUAGAGUCAAGGUCAAUGCGCCUAAGUCAGUUUGAUCGGCCUCAAUAUCCACGUUAACCCGCCG